rnacentral:rRNA from 1 species
GUAGGGUGCGAGCGUUGUCCGGAAUUAUUGGGCGUAAAGAGCUCGUAGGCGGCCUGUCGCGUCGGAUGUGAAAGCCCGGGGCUUAACCCUGGGUCUGCAUUCGAUACGGGCAGGCUGGAGUUCGGUAGGGGAGAUCGGAAUUCCUGGUGUAGCGGUGAAAUGCGCAGAUAUCAGGAGGAACACCGGUGGCGAAGGCGGAUCUCUGGGCCGAUACUGACGCUGAGGAGCGAAAGCAUGGGGAGCGAACAGGAUUAGAUACCCUGGUAGUCCAUGCCGUAAACGUUGGGCACUAGGUGUGGGCGACAUUCCACGUUGUCCGUGCCGCAGCUAACGCAUUAAGUGCCCCGCCUGGGGAGUACGGCCGCAAGGCUAAA